GGAAACACCAUUUCUCCCCCCAGGCUUGCUAAUAAUAAAGCCCCGUGGUUUUCAAACUCUAGCAGGCGUCACAGUCCCCUGGAGAGCCAGCACUGUUAAAAAUAGUUCCCCCAGUGCUCCAUUCCACCCCCAAAGAUUUUGACCUUGGGGGUGGGCCCUGGGAUCUGAGGUUUCACAAGCUUCCCAGGUCAUUCUGAUGUAGCUGUGCCAGGAACCAUGCUUUGAGAAAUACCGGGAUAGCCUUGCGUGCCUCUGACUUUGUCUUCCUCUUCCCAGGAAGUGAGAGUUCUGGGCCAUAAAUUCCGAAAUCCGGUAGGAAUUGCUGCAGGAUUUGACAAGCAUGGGGAAGCCGUGGACGGACUUUAUAAGAUGGGCUUUGGUUUUGUUGAGAUAGGAAGUGUGACUCCAAAACCUCAGGAAGGAAACCCUAGACCCAGAGUCUUCCGCCUCCCCGAGGACCAAGCUGUCAUUAACAGGUGGGGAUCAAUAUCUUCAGAAUUGGCCAGGCAAAAUAUAUUUGCUAAUCAUUCAGCUGCUACAGAUAACUGCAGGUGCUGGGAUGAUGGUACUUGGUGAAUCCUAUAGGUGAGCAGGGGUGUGAGAUCAUGCUCUGAGCCCUGUGUGUGCGGCCUCCUGGUUGCGUGGCAUGUGGUGAGUGUGCAGUAAACACUUAAUGAAUGGGUGAAGUUAUGAAGUCAUCAGAUAUGUGUGCCAGUGUGUCUGUUAUUAUGGAUGCUUUUGGCUCUAACAAAGUGACUUAAACAACAGGCACAUUUGAUAUUAUUUUCUUCUCAUAACAGGUGCAAUGGGCAGGUCCAGGGUUGGUUGAGCACCAGGGCAGUGUUGAGACUCUGGUCCAACUUCUCUGGGCCUUUUCUUUUUGCUUGUCAGAGAGUGACCUCGGCUGCAAGUAUUAUGUUCUUACACGGACGCCCAAGAGCAGAAAGGAAAAAGGGCAGCGAUGUUCUCAGAGGCUCCCAGUAGGUCUCACUUGUGUCUCAGUGUCUACACUUGGCAUACACUUACGCUUCCCUUGCCAGCAAGGCUGGGAAAGGAGUCAUUAGCAUUUUUACCCUGUAUCAGGGCAGGUGGGUUUCACUGGUAGGGAGGAAGAGGAAGGGGACUGGCCACUAGGUCAAAACCCACAGUGGGGCUGGGGAUACAGGGAUGAAAGAGAGAUGAGGCUCCUGCCUUCAGGGAGUGUCUAGUGACAGUGACAGAGGGAUGAGAGAAGUAUGAGAUGUUGCUCACCCUCAAGAAGAUUGUAACCUAGGGACCUUAAGCAUAUAUGUAUGUAUCUAUCCCAAGCCAGGAGAAAGGUGGGGCCAAAGCUCUGUAUGAAGGCCAGGGGGAUGAGGGAUCCUUUGCAGCUGGGAGCUCUGCGCAGGAGGAGAGGGAGCGUUUGCUCUGAGCUAGGAAGAGAGGUGAUUUUCAGACAGAAAGCCUAGAGAGAUGGAGUGGCUGCAGGGGCUUCAGGAGGCUGUUU
rnacentral:lncRNA from 1 species